CAAAUUUUGGGGAGGGGUGACCCCGCCCCCUUCUGCUGGCUCCGCCCCCUUUUGCUGACCCCGUUCCUAUUGGUCCGUUUUGUCGUGCGUGGCCCCACCCCCUCCCGCCCUUUCAAUCCAAUGAGGCCACGCCCAAUUAUCUAAAGCCCCGCCCCCUUUUCCCCUUUUUGGCCACGCCCCUUCAAGAUGGCCGCCCGGCUCCCCUGUGGGCGGGGCAGCUGCGCCGUCGCCAUGACAACGAGGAACUGGCCGUGAGUUUGGCUCCGCCCUCUCCGCCCCACCGUUGGGCUCUAUGGGGUGGUUAUGCGGUGCUUCUGGGGCUCUAUGGGGCGGUUAUGGGGCUCUGUGGGGCUCUAUGGGGUGGUUAUGGGGUGGUUAUGGGGCUCUAUGGGGUGGUUAUGGGGCUCUAUGGGGCUCUAUGGGGUGGUUAUGGGGCUCUGUGGGGCUCUAUGGGGUGUCUUUGGGGUUUUUAUGGGUCCCUAUGGGUCCCUUUGGGGUCUCUAUGCGGUGUUUCUCUAUUGUUCUUUCCUCUUUAUGGUUCUCUCUAUGGUUCUGUCCUCUCUAUGGUUUUCUCUAUGGUUCUUCAUACGGUUUUUCUUCUCUCUACGAUUUUCUGCUCUCUAUGGUUCUCUUUUCUCUAGGGUUCUCUCCUCUCUAUGGUUCUCUCUAUGGUUUUCUACUCUCUACCAUUUUCUCCUCUCUCUGGUUCUCUCCUCUCUAUGGUUCUUCUUUCUCUACGGUUCUCUCUUCUCUAUGGUUCUUUCCUUUUUAUAGUUCUCUCUAUGGUUUUCUACUCUCUACGAUUUUCUCCUCUCUAUGGUUCUAUUCUUUCUAUGGUUCUCUUUUCUCUAUGAUUCUGUCCUCUCUAUGGUUCUCUGCUCUCUAUGGUUCUCUUUUCUCUAUGAUUCUGUCCUCUCUAUGGUUUUCUACUCUCUAUGGUUCUCUUCUCUCUAUGAUUCUCUCCUGUCUAUGGUUCUCUGCUCUCUAUGGUUCUCUCCUUUCUAUGGUUCUUCUUUCUCUACGGUUCUCUUUUCUCUAUGGUUCUCUCCUCUCUAUGGUUCUCUCUAUGGUUUUCUACUCUACCAUUUUCUCCUCUCUAUGGUUUUCUACUCUCUACCAUUUUCUCCUCUCUAUGGUUCUCUCUUCUCUAUGGUUCUUCCUAUGAUUCUCUCCUCUCUAUGUUUCUCUUCUCUCUAUGGUUCUCUGCUCUCUAUGAUUCUCUCCUCUCUAUGAUCCUCUCCUCUCUAUGCUUUUCUCCUCUCUAUGGCUCUUCUUCUGCUCCUUUCCUCUCUCUGUUCCUCUCCUCUCUACGAUUCCCUUCUCUCUUCACCUCCCCCUGCCCUGA
rnacentral:lncRNA from 1 species